rnacentral:rRNA from 1 species
UGGGGAAUAUUGGGCAAUGGGGGAAACCCUGACCCAGCAACGCCGCGUGAAGGAAGAAGGCUUUCGGGUUGUAAACUUCUUUUACCAGGGACGAAGAACGUGACGGUACCUGGAGAAAAAAGCCACGGCUAACUACGUGCCAGCAGCCGCGGUAAUACGUAGGUGGCAAACGUUGUCCGGAUUUACUGGGUGUAAAGGGCGUGUAGGCGGGAGAGCAAGUCAGAAGUGAAAUCUAUGGGCUUAACCCAUAAACUGCUUUUGAAACUGUUCUUCUUGAGUAUCGGAGAGGCAGGCGGAAUUCCUAGUGUAGCGGUGAAAUGCGUAGA